rnacentral:snRNA from 1 species
GUGCUCGCUUCGGCAGCGCAUGUACUAAAAUUGAAAUGAUACAGAGAAGAUUAGCGUGGCCCCUGUGCGAGGAUGACAUGCAAAUUUGUGAAGUGUUCCGUAUUUUU